GUCCAGACUCCUACGGGAGGCAGCAGUGGGGAAUAUUGCACAAUGGGGGAAACCCUGAUGCAGCGACGCCGCGUGAGUGAGGAAGUAUUUCGGUAUGUAAAGCUCUAUCAGCAGGGAAGAAAAUGACGGUACCUGACUAAGAAGCCCCGGCUAACUACGUGCCAGCAGCCGCGGUAAUACGUAGGGGGCAAGCGUUAUCCGGAUUUACUGGGUUUAAAGGGUGCGUAGGCGGAAGGUUAAGUCAGCGGUCAAAUGUCGGUGCUCAACACCGGCCUGCCGUUGAAACUGGUCUUCUUGAGUGAGCGAGAAGUAUGCGGAAUGCGUGGUGUAGCGGUGAAAUGCAUAGAUAUCACGCAGAACCCCGAUUGCGAAGGCAGCGUACCGGCUCCACACUGACGCUGAGGCACGAAAGCGUGGGUAUCGAACAGGAUUAGAUACCCUCGUA
rnacentral:rRNA from 1 species